AUGUGGUACGCCAAUGGAGUUACUAGAGAGUUAGAGCUUUGGGGAAAAACUUUGGAAUCGAAAGGUUUUAAGCUUAGUAGAACGGAAACUGAGUACAUGAGGUGCGGUUUCAGUACUACUAGGCACGAGGAGGAGGAGGAGGAGGAGGAGGAGUGUUAUGGCGCUGCUAGAAGGAGGGCGCGAGAGGGCCGACCGGGGGCCUUUCUGCCCACGGCCGGGCAAGAGGGAAGGGAUUUCCUUCUUAAUUCUUGCUUGAUUAGAUUGAUACAUCUCCUCUCUUUAUAUAGAGAGGUUUACUUGACUCCCAAGCAAGGCUUACUUGAACCCUAA
rnacentral:rRNA from 1 species